rnacentral:rRNA from 1 species
ACGGAGGGUGCAAGCGUUAUUCGGAGUUACUGGGCGUAAAGGGCGUGCAGGCGGGUGAGCAAGUCUGGUGUGAAAGUCCGGGGCUUAACCCCGGGACGGCAUUGGAAACUUUUUGACUGGAGUUCGGGAGAGGAAAGGAGAAUUCCCGGUGUAGCGGUGAAAUGCGUAGAGAUCGGGAGGAACACCAGUGGCGAAGGCGCGCUGCUGGACAGCAACUGACGCUGAGACGCGAAAGCGUGGGGAGCAAACAG